rnacentral:rRNA from 1 species
AACGAACGCUGGCGGCAUGCCUAACACAUGCAAGUCGAACGAAGGCUUCGGCCUUAGUGGCGCACGGGUGCGUAACGCGUGGGAAUCUGCCCUUGGGUACGGAAUAACUCCUCGAAAGGGGUGCUAAUACCGUAUGAUGUCGCGAGACCAAAGAUUUAUCGCCCAGGGAUGAGCCCGCGUAGGAUUAGCUAGUUGGUGAGGUAAAGGCUCACCAAGGCGACGAUCCUUAGCUGGUCUGAGAGGAUGAUCAGCCACACUGGGACUGAGACACGGCCCAGACUCCUACGGGAGGCAGCAGUGGGGAAUAUUGGACAAUGGGCGAAAGCCUGAUCCAGCAAUGCCGCGUGAGUGAUGAAGGCCUUAGGGUUGUAAAGCUCUUUUACCCGGGAAGAUAAUGACUGUACCGGGAGAAUAAGCCCCGGCUAACUCCGUG